rnacentral:rRNA from 1 species
CCUACGGGAGGCAGCAGUGGGGAAUAUUGCACAAUGGGCGGAAGCCUGAUGCAGCGACGCCGCGUGGGGGAUGACGGCCUUCGGGUUGUAAACCUCUUUCAGCUCCGACGAAGCGAGAGUGACGGUAGGGGCAGAAGAAGCGCCGGCCAACUACGUGCCAGCAGCCGCGGUAAGACGUAGGGCGCGAGCGUUGUCCGGAUUUAUUGGGCGUAAAGAGCUCGUAGGCGGCUUGUCGCGUCGUCCGUGAAAACCCGUGGCUCAACUGCGGGCUUGCGGUCGAUACGGGCAGGCUGGAGUUCGGUAGGGGAGACUGGAAUUCCUGGUGUAGCGGUGAAAUGCGCAGAUAUCAGGAGGAACACCGGUGGCGAAGGCGGGUCUCUGGGCCGAUACUGACGCUGAGGAGCGAAAGCGUGGGGAGCGAACAGGAUUAGAUACCCUUG